AGCUUCACUUAUUUAGUGUUGAAUAAGAUCAUUGACAUGACAUUCUAAUAAUUAAAAGGCUUUUUUUCCUUUUUUUUUAAAGAUCAUUGAUAUGACAUUCUAAUAAAGGCUUUGUUACUUUUUUUUAAAGGCUUGCAUCGAGUGAACGACGUGCAUCAAAUGGAAAAAAAAGGGACUGAAAAACGCCACUGAGAAUAUCUUAGUAGUUUGCGCUAACGUCAAGUAGUUGAUUUACUCAACGAGUUUGCGAGGCCUAACUGAGACAUCCACUAUGAUAUAAACACUGUCCUACAAAAAUUAAGGAGGCUAAAGGUUUCUAUCAAAGAGUUUCGCCAGACGACUUCCUUCUAGGGCAAAUACCGACUACAUCAUCGAUGUCAUAUAUGUGCUUCUUUCAGGUGAUGUACUGAUGCAGCAAAACACACAGAUAUUUCCGAAGCUUUUAUAUGUAUCUGUUGUUUUCCGGUUUCCUUGCACUAAAAUGUAGUGGCCCUUAGAGCCCAAUAUAUAAGUUUAUAAGCUAUGGCUGGUUAGUUGGUUCUGACUCUCUCUAUCGAGUAUGCAAGUAGAGAAAAUAAACUGCUCUUGAACUGAAAUUCUAAGUUUGUUCAGUUAACGUGAGAGCUACGAGAUAUGGGGGUUUUUGACACUUAACCCAAGUCACACAAAAUGAAACAGUAAUAAAACGUACCGCGUGUAUAUCACAUUGUACUAAAGUCAGUAAUUUUAUAUUUUCAUAUUUCUUCAUUAUUUAAUUGUAUCCCGAUAUAAGAAAACUGCUCGAUACUAAAAGAUUGUAUCACUUUGGCCAUGGUGGUUGAAGGAUGUUUGGUGAAAGGACCUUGAAAUUUGGCAGUUUUUUCCGGGUGCUUCUCCGUUAUUCUGUGUUUCUCAGAACAAGAUUCUGUGGUUGGGUGUGAAGUACUGAGAUGCACUAGAGACAAUUGAUAUCAGUUUUUGGAAAAUAGAAGUGAUGUGUGCCAAAUAAUCAAGGAUUUAACCCUACUUUAAACCAGCACCUCGAGAGAGUAUUCACAAUUCCCAUCACUUCUUGCCGGAUAGCAUCGGGAAGAUAGGAGAGAAAGCAACGUUGUCAUUGUUGGAAAUGUGAUGGGUAAAGGUCACGAGAAUCAAAGAAAUUCUCACCGUAGUUGUCACGAGACUGAGAUACGGAGAGAGACCAGUGGGGAGAAUUAAAUGUUGACCAGAGCUUAAAGGGUGAAAGGAGCGUAUGUCAAAGUUUGGCUGCGCGGUACAGAACAUAUCUCUAUCUUGUAGUGGAGAGUCAUUAACCUCGAAACGACCUCGACUCUCUCAUGCUGAAUCCAGACUUCAUUCAUCUGGUAAGAAAUCGUUUGUUAUUGUCAACUAAAUAUAUUGUUAGUUUGCUGUUACCAAAGAAGUGAAGCUACAAUAUAUUUAACUAGUUUUGUUAACUAUCCUUUCCAACUCAUUCUAUCUCGAUUGAGUCGCUCUUUGAAAGGUCACACGAAAGACAGAAGCGUAUAUUUUAAUUUUUCACAAACAAAUUAAUACAUAAAUUUAAUAUAGAGAAUGUUUCAUCGUGGAAACCGUCCAACGAAGCUUGUAUGUAUCUAUUUUUAGAAGAAAGAAAGACUGCCGAAAUUGAUAGUAGGAAUGCAAAGGCAAAUCAGUUUGUGAUCUUUUUUCAGCGGAAUGAUAAAACCUCCCUUUUCAUCUCCCGCCCUUGGUCACUCGUCGAAGGAGACGGCAUCUCUGCUUUUAGAAGGCGUGGCUUUUUUCACUCAGAUGAUAUUGUAUCGGUGAUCUCUUGUGUUUUGCUUGCUUGGAUGCUAUCGUUACUGGGUUACCUUAAUCAGCUGUGCAGGGAAAAUCGCUCAUUCUAGGUGCCCUUGAGCAAGAAGCGGAUAUUACUAAUGCAAUUAAAAUUUCCUAUCUUUACAAAUGAUUUCCUCAAAGCAUCUUUCGGUUAAAGUUUGAAGUGGUUCCUCUAAAUAAAUUAGUUGCUGGUAAUCAAAUGCAGCAUUUCAAAGAGGGAAAGAGAUCAAAGAGCGACCCUUGUAGGAUAUUGGAUCUUAUGACUCGGAGAAGUCGAGUACUUCAUACACCAAAUGUUUUAAGCGAUUUUAUCAGAGAUAGGACAAUGCUUCUUAGCCCCGUCAUGGGAUGACUUUUUUGCGGAUAUCGUGUUAUGAGGAACUGUAUGGAAAGAGAACCUAUCUUUGACAAUUCAACAUGAAUAAGAAACAUCUGCCGUUCGAAACGAUGAUUCAUUUUAAUUGAUAAAUUAAGGACAAUAAUUUCCAAUUUCAGUCUCGAAAGAAAGAAAAUUAACCAUUAAUGAGAUUGGAGUUUGACGUUUUUGAAAACAAUGGCGCCCUUAAGAGUGCUUGUUCGUCGGAGUGUCUUUUAAGCUGAGAGCACUGUUCUCACGCAUUUAGGGUUGCUCCGAAACUCGACCAAUAUUUUAACUGUUGAUUCCAAUCGCCUUUUUUUUUACAACUCUUUCAAGAUAUUAUGCGCAAAUGGUGUUAAAAAGGAAAGUAAGAAUAGAAAAAAAAAAGAGAGAGACCGAAAGUAAUAGAGGAGGAAAACACUUUAAAUCCAAAUGCUACUGUGUUCUUUACAUCGUUUGCAUCAACCACAUGAUGGAAACAAAUGAUUUUAUAAAAUUCGUCAUAUAACAUUAAAAGCAUUAUUCCUGGGAGCUUUGUGUGUGGCGGUGUAUUCAACGCGCUGAAACGAGAUGAUGCACCUUUUUUCGACGAAAUUACUAAAUGUGGUUAUAUAAUUAUUUUAUUGUCUUUUGUUCCACAAUGUAUCUAUCAAUUUUAAAAUAAUUUAAAGCGCAAUUUCCUUUGGCUCCCAAGUAAUUGUUCUUUCGUUAAAUUGAUCUCUUCUGGAAAUUGAUAAACUCACGUUUCAGAUUUUCAAUUUAAGAAUCAGAAAAACUGAAGCACGAAAUUCUGGUGGUUUUGGUACCGCUGAGAAGAGAAAAGGAAUAUGAAAGAAACCGUGCUGUUGGUUUGAAAAUACGAGAAUCUUCAAACCGUUUUUCCAUUCUAGCUGUGCUUGUCGAUCCGCCCCUUUCCGUAGGUGCUUUCUUAUGACGUGGUGUUCGCAUUGAGUUCCUUUCUUUUACCUCAAAAACUUUAGAUCGAAGAGAGGUAGGAAAUCCUUGUUUGCCCUCUGGUUUAGAAUCUAGAUAAGGGAUACCGCCAUUUUCAUCUUUUGAAAAUCCAGAUGUACAUUAGCUACUCUUUGCCACUGAAUAAAGUGGCCAAACGUCACCCAAAAUAACAUUGUGUGCGAUUACAAGUUGUUAUCGAAGUAUCUUCCACAAAACGAAAAGGAUAAGGUUAUUCAAGUUUAAUAAUGUAGAAAAUAAAUUUGCGGUUUCCUUUAUUAGUAAGAUUCAUUAACUGAAUUCCCCCGAAUAACUUCUACUACACGUACGAUGCUGGUAGCACGUGCGGGAUGUCAGGAAUAUCAUGUUAAGUAUAUGGAAGCUGUUUAAUCUUGGAAAAUAACAUAUUUUUUCAGGAAGGUGUUGUUUGGCCUGUUUCGAAUUUCAUUAAAAUUUCAUAUUUUCUCUUUGCAGCAUGUGCGUCGAAUAUUCUUACUUUCUGUUAGUAAGCCCCGCUGAUUAGUAUAACCACAAAAUAUUUCGGAAACCGUCUCAAAAUGAUAUCGGAAAGUCUUCUUAAUGUCUUCAUCUGAGGUUUUA